GACGAACGCUGGCGGCGUGCUUAACACAUGCAAGUCGAGCGGAAAGGCCCUGCUUUUGUGGGGUGCUCGAGUGGCAAACGGGUGAGUAACACGUGAGUAACCUGCCCUGGACUUUGGGAUAACUUCAGGAAACUGGGGCUAAUACCGGAUAGGAGCUCCUGCUGCAUGGUGGGGGUUGGAAAGUUUCGGCGGUUGGGGAUGGACUCGCGGCUUAUCAGCUUGUUGGUGGGGUAGUGGCUUACCAAGGCUUUGACGGGUAGCCGGCCUGAGAGGGUGACCGGCCACAUUGGGACUGAGAGACGGCCCAGACUCCUACGGGAGGCAGCAGUGGGGAAUAUUGCACAAUGGGCGGAAGCCUGAUGCAGCAACGCCGCGUGCGUGAUGACGGCCUUCGGGUUGUAAACCGCUGUCGCCUGUGACGAAGCGGGAGUGACGGUAAUGGGUAAAGAAGCACCGGCUAACUACGUG
rnacentral:rRNA from 1 species